rnacentral:rRNA from 1 species
CGCCGCGUGAGGGAUGAAGGCCUAGGGGUUGUAAACCUCUUUCAGCAGGGACGAAGCGUGAGUGACGGUACCUGCAGAAGAAGCACCGGCUAACUACCGUGCCAGCAGCCGCGGUAAUACGAAGGGUGCGAGCGUUGUCCGGAAUUACUGGGCGUAAAG